UUGCAGCCAAACAUAAUCUUUAUUGUUUUAUUUUUUUGUUUUUCCAUGAAUAGUUUUUCACUGGAUUCAAAAUACAAAAAGAAGGCAUACGCUUAAGUAGGCAGUGAAGUACAAUGGUGGGUCUUACAUAACUUUUAAUUGUAACAGUUACGGUUUAUUAACAUUCCAACAUAUAUAAUUCUGUCGUGCAAUUUACGGGUAGUGCAUAGCCUUUUCCCGAAAUUGACCCUUUACCGUAGAAAACUGCCCUGAUUGAAUGAGGGUGUCAUUUUGAAUCCUUUUAUAAUAUGAAAGAACAGAAAUAUGGGAGAAGGAGUACAUGGGGGAUAGGGAGGUGUAAAAUGGUGUACAUCAUCAGUGCUGCUCCUGUGUGUGGUGUGCCCUGGUCAAGUAUGCUGGAGAUCUGGUGGUGCGCUUGUGUAACAUGGCUCUAUAUCGAUUGUCUGAUACAACUGUUAUUGUACAGGUUCCCACUCGUUUGAAAGUAGUGGAGAAACUGUACGGUAGGAUUAGUUGGCUGGCUAAUGCGGUGUGAUGUCAAUCUCUAUCAACUAUAUGCAUUUAAAAAUUUUUUUUUAUUAUUAUUAACAUCAAUUCUUCCCUUUUCAUUAUAUUGGUAUAUAUGCCUAUCUUUCAGUUAGUCUGAGUGUAAGUCUUGCAUUGUCUGCCAAUAGUGAUGUCCCGAACGGUUUGCCGCGAACGGUUCGCCACGGACUCAUCAUUGAGUAAAC